rnacentral:rRNA from 1 species
GGAUUGAACGCUGGCGGCAUGCCUUACACAUGCAAGUCGAACGGCAGCACGGGAGCAAUCCUGGUGGCGAGUGGCGAACGGGUGAGUAAUACAUCGGAACGUGCCCAAUCGUGGGGGAUAACGCAGCGAAAGCUGUGCUAAUACCGCAUAAGAUCUACGGAUGAAAGCAGGGGAUCGCAAGACCUUGCGCGAAUGGAGCGGCCGAUGGGCAAGAUUAGGUAGUUGGUGAGGUAAAGGCUCACCAAGCCUUCGAUCUGUAGCUGGUCUGAGAGGACGACCAGCCACACUGGGACUGAGACACGGCCCAGACUCCGUACGGGAGCAGCAGUGGGGAAUUUUGGACAAGUGGGACGAAAGCCUAGAUCCAGGCCAUCGCCGCGUGCGAGGAUGAAGGUCCUUCGGUUAGUAAACGUGUCGUUUUAGUACGGUAACGUAAAGUCUUACUUUACUAAGUAAAGAGGAUCAUGACGUACCGUAAGAAUAAG